rnacentral:siRNA from 1 species
CCAUCAAACUGCCAGUCCGA